rnacentral:rRNA from 1 species
AAGCGUUGUUCGGAUUCAUUGGGCGUAAAGGGUGCGUAGGCGGCGCGGUAAGUCGGGUGUGAAAUCUCGGGGCUUAACUCCGAAACUGCAUUCGAUACUGCCGUGCUUGAGGACUGGAGAGGAGACUGGAAUUUACGGUGUAGCGGUGAAAUGCGUAGAUAUCGUAAGGAAGACCAGUGGCGAAGGCGGGUCUCUGGACAGUUCCUGACGCUGAGUCACGAAGUCCAGGGGAGCAAACGGG